rnacentral:rRNA from 1 species
AGUGAACGCUGGCGGUAGGCCUAACACAUGCAAGUCGAACGGCAGCACAGUAAGCGCUUGCUCUUACGGGUGGCGAGUGGCGGACGGGUGAGGAAUACAUCGGAAUCUACUUUUUCGUGGGGGAUAACGUAGGGAAACUUACGCUAAUACCGCAUACGACCUACGGGUGAAAGCAGGGGAUCUUCGGACCUUGCGCGAUUGAAUGAGCCGAUGUCGGAUUAGCUAGUUGGCGGGGUAAAGGCCCACCAAGGCGACGAUCCGUAGCUGGUCUGAGAGGAUGAUCAGCCACACUGGAACUGAGACACGGUCCAGACUCCUACGGGGGGCAGCAGUGGGGAAUAUUGGACAAUGGGCGCAAGCCUGAUCCAGCCAUACCGCGUGGGUGAAGAAGGCCUUCGGGUUGUAAAGCCCUUUUGUUGGGAAAGAAAAGCAGCAGGUUAAUACCCCGCUGUUCUGACGGUACCCAAAGAAUAAGCACCGGCUAACUUCGUG